CUGACUGCUCUUUGAAAGUCACCGUCAUCUUCUCGGAUCAAGCUGCAGGACAAACUCCAUCAAGCACAGAAACACACCAGGCAGGAAAAAGACAGGAGACGACAUGCAGCAAAUGGCCGCAUUCCUGUGGUAAGGACUCAGCCUACAUGGGGAACUCUACCAGUGAACUUCUGCAUGGUGCCACAUCGAUUGCUGUCACGUGUCUCUGAUUGACUGAAUCUUCUGACAAAAACACAGAUUGAAG
rnacentral:lncRNA from 1 species